rnacentral:tRNA from 1 species
GGGGUUGUAGCUCGGUGGUAGAGCACUUGCCUGGCAUGUAUGAGACACUGGGCUCAAUUCUCAGCACCA